rnacentral:rRNA from 1 species
GACGAGCCUCACAAACGUUAUUCGGAAUUACUGGGCUUAAAGGGUGCGUAGGCGGCGCGGCAAGUUGGGUGUGAAAUCCCUCGGCUCAACCGAGGAACAGCGCCCAAAACUACCGUGCUCGAGGGAGAUAGAGGAAUGCGGAACUUAGGGUGGAGCGGUGAAAUGCGUUGAUAUCCUAGGGAACACCGGUGGCGAAAGCGGCAUUCUGGAUCUCUCCUGACGCUGAGGCACGAAAGCUAGGGUAGCGAACGGG